CACAAAAGGAGUGAAAAUGACAGAUAUUAUUAAACCUACCAUCAAACAUGCAUCCUAUUCUUGUCAAUGCAGUCCAGGGACAGAGGUUGCAGAUCAACCUUCCCAACCCGAACCAUCCGAAGAGUGGCCUGAAUUUCCCGGGCCACUUAUGCAUGCACAGAUGGAUAAGGAGGUCCUGUUUCGCUUCAUCCGGUGGAAAGCACAGAGGUGUCUGCAACAAAUUCACGAAAGUGACCAAGUGGAGGAAUAUUUCUUCUGGCAGAUAAUGGAAUUGUUCUGCAUUCGA